GGUCGAUCAAACACAGAGCCAAGAAAACAGAGUUUUGUUCAAAACCCUAAAUUCAUCAAAUUCUACUAAAAAUCAAAGAAGAAAUCGAUUGGGAUUCGAUUCUAAGCUGAAUUAGUGAUCAUUACACUUAGAAGAUCACAAGGCAAUUUGGGUGGAUCGUCUAGUAACCAAGGUGGAACGGACAAUCGGUUGAAAGGAAAGCUCUAAAGGUAACUAACAUGAAUAUGCGGAUGAAGAUCAAGCUUUGGAGAGAACCGAACACGCACCCAUAAUGAAGCUUCCGCUUGAUUAAUCGUGUCUUUUGACUCACUAAUCUUAUGUUUAAUAAGUAUAAUAAUCUUUAUGAUGUUUAACUUAUGAUAUUACUGUUUAAAUGUUUCGAAAGUCAAGUGUGUGUAGUUAUGAUAAUAUGGUUUAAAUCUUUA